AUACUUAACUGGCAGGGGAGAUACCAUGAUCACGAAGGUGGUUUUCCCAGGGCGAGGCUUAUCCAUUGCACACCGUUUGUACUGACCCCGGCAAUUUCCCCAAAUUUGGGAAACUCAACUGCAUAAUUUGUAGUAGGGGACUGCAUUCACUCUCUCCCCUG